rnacentral:piRNA from 1 species
UAAUGGCAUGACUCGGUUGGACCUUUGGU